rnacentral:sRNA from 1 species
GCUUCCGCUCUCUGGCCGGGCUUGGGCUGCGUGGAGAAUACAUUUUGCGAUGCCUACUGGAGACUUUGAUUCGAAGCCCAGUUGGGCCGACCAGGUGGAGGAGGAGGGGGAGGACGACAAAUGUGUCACCAGCGAGCUCCUCAAGGGGAUCCCUCUGGCCACAGGUGACACCAGCCCAGAACCAGAGCUACUGCCGGGAGCUCCACUGCCGCCUCCCAAGGAGGUCAUCAACGGAAACAUAAAGACAGUGACAGAGUACAAGAUAGAUGAGGAUGGCAAGAAGUUCAAGAUUGUCCGCACCUUCAGGAUUGAGACCCGGAAGGCUUCAAAGGCUGUCGCAAGGAGGAAGAGUGUUGCUCUGUCCCCCAGGCUGAAGUGCAGUGGCAUGAUCUCAACUCACUGCAACCUCCGCCUCCUGGGUUCAAGUGAUUCUCCUGCCUCAGCCUCCUGAGUAGCUGGGGUUACAGGCAUGUGCCACCACGCCCAGCUAAUUUUUGUACUUUUAGUAGAGACAGGGUUUUGCCAUGUUGGCCAGGCU